AACGAACGCUGGCGGCAUGCCUAACACAUGCAAGUCGAACGAGACCUUCGGGUCUAGUGGCGCACGGGUGCGUAACGCGUGGGAACCUGCCCUUAGGUUCGGAAUAACUCCCCGAAAGGGGUGCUAAUACCGGAUAAUGUCUUCGGACCAAAGAUUUAUCGCCUUUGGAUGGGCCCGCGUUGGAUUAGCUAGUUGGUAGGGUAAAAGCCUACCAAGGCGACGAUCCAUAGCUGGUCUGAGAGGAUGAUCAGCCACACUGGGACUGAGACACGGCCCAGACUCCUACGGGAGGCAGAAGUGGGGAAUAGUGGACAAGGGGCGAAAGCCUGAUCCAGCAAUGCCGCGUGAGUGAUGAAGGCCUAAGGGGUGUAAAGCUCUUUUACCCGGGAUGAUAAUGACAGUACCGGGAGAAUAAGCUCCGGCUAACUCCG
rnacentral:rRNA from 1 species